rnacentral:rRNA from 1 species
ACGUUGGAUACUGGAGCGGGGAAGGAUUUCGUGCCAACGGCACUCGUACACGAGUUGUUCGGAUACUGAGCACAACGUUACACCGUUUUGUUAGGAAAGUGAAGGUGCGUCGGCGGCGUGCGUUUUUUUUUUGCUUUGUUUUUUUUUUUUAAAAAAAAAAAAAAAAAAGGCGCCCCCCCCUGGGCCUUUUUGAAAAGGGGAAAAA